rnacentral:ncRNA from 1 species
GGAGAAUCUUAGAUUUUCUUAAUGUUUUGUAAGAAAAUCAGCAAUGCAGCAACAGGACGUUGCUACAAGCAAAAGCCGUGACAUGGAUGUUACGUCUUUUGCGGUUGCGGGUAUAGAGUAGGACUUGGCAGAACAUUUAGAAAAUGUUAGAUUCGUA